GCUCCGGGAACUCCGUCUACGGCAGCUCCACCAUUUUGCAGUAGGAUCAAGUCUCUGGAAAGUAAAGGAGGCCUGGAUACGAACAUCAAUCCCAGAUCCAGACAGCAACUCACAAAGAAAAGUAUUGCUGUGCAUUAUGAUACACCUGCCUGGUCAAGGCCCUAUUCCAAGAUCAAAGAAUGAGAAACGCAGCAAAGAGACCAUCUUGUCUACCCCCUUGCAUUCCUAUUUGCCCAACACCGCUACAUCCAAAAGGGCAAAAGAUGAGUAACAUAUGGCCUUCUCUCUUCAAGUAGCUCUCUGUUUUACAAAUAAGUAAAGUGAGAUCCAAAAAGCUUUGAUGUCUUGUCCAAAAAUAUAGAACAGUAAAACUAGAACCCACCUUUCAGAUCCCUAAUGGGCUUUGUUUUGCAUAACAAUUUCAACAGGAGACAGCACUAGAAUAA